rnacentral:lncRNA from 1 species
GGGAGAUCCAGUCUGCCACGUCUAACCACUAUGCCUGCACCUAUCUUUCAAGAUCUUUAAAAAGGAGUCAUUUCCUAUGGGACUGUUAGAAAUAGAAAAGCAGAAGAAUUACAGAAGGUGGCCUGGUUAACAGAUGCCGAAUAUUCCCACUAUGGUCUCCACAAAGAAGUUCUAAAAUUGUCUCCUCCAGGGACUUCAAAGAACUUGACAGAUUGUGGGGGAAACUCGAUGUAGAUGAAUGACAAAACUUCUCUGUAGAGCCCUUAACUGCCAACGUGAACCACUUCACCUACGCGUAAUGUGCCAGUGACUGCAGCUCUUGACUGGCAGUGGCUUAUCUUCAGGAUGGUUUCACUUCAUGGGAACAUUUCCCUGUAAUUUCAAGGAUUCAAGUACAGCACUACAGGAAGUUUGAAUAGCCCAAGUGAACUCACCUGGUGUAAGCAGCAAGAGAAACUCUUUACAAUAGAUGUCUCUGGGCAACUC